GAUGAACGCUGGCGGCGUGCCUAAUACAUGCAAGUCGAGCGAACGGACGCGAAGCUUGCUUCUCUGAUGUUAGCGGCGGACGGGUGAGUAACACGUGGAUAACCUACCUAUAAGACUGGGAUAACUUCGGGAAACCGGAGCUAAUCCCGGAUAAUAUUUUGAACCGCAUGGUUCAAAAGUGAAAGACGGUCUUGCUGGCUCUUCUCGCUGGUUCCCCGCUGCAUUAGCUGGUUGGUAAGGUCACGGGUUACCAAGGCAACGAUGCAUAGACGACCGGUGAGGGGGAUCGGCCGCACGGGAGCGGAGCCACGGUCCAUACGCCUACGGGAGGCAGCAGUAGGGAAUCGUCCGCAAUGGGCGAGAGCAUUACGGAGCAAGGGCGAGUGAGUGAUGGAGGUCCUCGGAUCGUAAAACUCGGUUAUGAGGUAUGAACAGAUGUGUAAGUAACUGUGCACAGCUUGACGGUACCUAAUCAGAAAGCCACGGCUAACUACGUG
rnacentral:rRNA from 1 species